UUAUUAUUUUUUUAUAAAACCAAAAUCCCUUUCUUCUUCUUCUUCACGUCGCCCGAAAACCCCAACCCCUUGCUGCCGAACCUCCCAAACUGUCGUGUCUUCCGUCGAGCCUAAUACCCACGAGCAGUCGCCGCGUCGACCCCACCCUCGCUUGCAACCAAUCACCCCAGCCGUCGAUCUGCACUCCAGACGCGUCGGUCGUCGUUCGUGGAAUUCGGCCGAUUAGAUCUCGCUAGUCAAACCUCACCGCUCACCGUCGUGUCACCCCCUUCAGUCGAUCGUUCCGUCCACGAGCAAUGAGAUGCCUUCCAGCCGCCGUCGCGAGCCACUCGUGCACUGAAGCCGAACGCCACCUAGAUCGGAUGUCGAGCGACCACCGUGAGCCUUCGUCCAGUCGAGCCGCUUGUCCAGAUCCCCUCCAGUCGUGCGUCUGCCGCUCCAACCACACGUCCCUACCCCAGCCACACCACUGCCAGUCGCUGUCGUCCCUAUCGCGUCGGGUCCGCUUUAUUCUUUGUCGGAAUCUUAGAUUAAGGGGCAAAAUUUUAGGUUGUUGAAGUUGUCGUCCAGCCGAUUAAAGGGGUAGUCGACGAAUCUUAGUGAAGGGUUUGGAUCUUGAGGUUUCCUGGUGUCUUUGUUUUGGAUGAUUUAAGUUUGAUUUUGUGGGUUUUCGGUUUCGUUGGGCAAGGAAGAGGUUGAGCUUGCUAGUUUCUAGAGUUUGCAAUUAAAGGUAAGUAAACUUACUAUUGGAACUGCCCACAGGCCAGACACUAGAUAUAUGCUAGCAUGAUAGAUGAAUAUUAUGAUAGAACGAUAGCAUGAUAAACGGAUAGUAUAGUAUGACCGAUAUAUGUUCUUGUAUAAGGAUCUGAAACAUUUAUUUGUGCACGUAGAUACUUGCAUGCUAGCAUGAGAUGAUACUUGAUUCCAUAAGGUUGUAUUUGAUAUGAGGAUAUUGAGGCAUAUAUGUAUGUUGUAGAGCCAUGAUGUUGAGGUGUAUAUGUAUGUUAUAGAACCAUGUAGUGAUACUUGUGGAGACUGUGAUAGUGUCUUUACUGAUUAGUUAGAUGCCCAUUAUAUGUUGUGUUUCCUUCGGGAUUCACCAGAGAUUGUGUUUCCUUCGGGAUUCACCAGGGAUUGUGUUUCCUUCGAGAUUCACCAGGGGUUGUGCUUCC